CCUACGGGGGGCAGCAGUGAGGAAUAUUGGUCAAUGGGCGCGAGCCUGAACCAGCCAAGUCGCGUGAGGGAUGACGGCCCUACGGGUUGUAAACCUCUUUUGCCGGGGAGCAACGGGCGCCACGUGUGGCGCCACUGAGAGUACCCGGAGAAAAAGCAUCGGCUAAUUCCGGGCCAGCAGCCGCGGUAAUCCGGAGGAUGCGAGCGUUAUCCGGUUUUAUUGGGUUUAAAGGGUGGGUAGGAGGAUCGUUAAGUCAGUGGUCAAAUUGCGGGGCUAAACCCCUUCCCGCCAUUGAAACUGGCGCUCUUGAGUGGAAGAGAGGUAUGCGGAAUGCGUGGUGUAGCGGUGAAAUGCAUAGAUAUCACGCAGAACCCCGAUUGCGAAGGCAGCAUGCCGGCUUCCGACUGACGCUGAAGCACGAAAGCGUGGGGAUCGAACAGGAUUAGAUACCCGUGUAGUC
rnacentral:rRNA from 1 species